CCUACGGGGCGCAGCAGUGGGGAAUAUUGCACAAUGGGGGGAACCCUGAUGCAGCGACGCCGCGUGAAGGAAGAAGGCUUUCGGGUUGUAAACUUCUUUUAUCAGGGACGAAGCAAGUGACGGUACCUGAUGAAUAAGCCAUGGCUAACUACGUGCCAGCAGCCGCGGUAAUACGUAGGUGGCAAGCGUUAUCCGGAUUUACUGGGUGUAAAGGGCGUGUAGGCGGGAGUGCAAGUCAGAUUUGAAAACUAUGGGCUCAACCCAUAGCCUGCAUUUGAAAUUGUACUUCUUGAGUGCUGGAGAGG
rnacentral:rRNA from 1 species